AUGCUUGCUUUGGCAGCACAUACACUAAAAUCGGAAUGAUACAGAGAUUAGCAUGGCCCUUGCACAAGGAUGACACACAAAUUCGUGAAGUGUUCCAUAUUUUU
rnacentral:snRNA from 1 species